rnacentral:lncRNA from 1 species
UGGUUCGCUCUUCUUUUUCUUGCCAGGCUCCUUGUCAUCAGCUUCCGGCUUCUCAGGUGUCUCCUUCCAGCCAAAGAUAGUCGGAGUGGGUUCCUUUCCAGGUGUGCCCUCUCUGCUUGGAAGCUUGGUGGGCUCUUGCGUUUCAGCACCAGGUUCUCCAGGGAAUGCUGGC